rfam:Tupaia chinensis contig185361, whole genome shotgun sequence.
AGCCUUCUGUGGCUCAUAUGUGAUGAUUCGGUUUUCAGACUAUUGUGUGAGAUGUGCCUCCCUCAAAUCUUGGUACAAUGUCAGGAUAUGACCUACCGGGUA